UACAGAGGUCUCAAGCGUUGUUCGGAUUCAUUGGGCGUAAAGGGUGCGUAGGUGGUGAUGCAAGUCUGGUGUGAAAUCUCGGAGCUCAACUCCGAAAUUGCACCGGAUACUGCGUGACUCGAGGACUGUAGAGGAGAUCGGAAUUCACGGUGUAGCAGUGAAAUGUGUAGAUAUCGUAAGGAAGACCAGUGGCGAAGGCGGGUCUCUGGACAGUUCCUGACGCUGAGGCACGAAGGCCAGGGGAGCAAACAGG
rnacentral:rRNA from 1 species